AUGGUUAUGAUGGUGAUUGUAUGAGAUUCAAAGGGUAACUUGAGCAAAGAUUUUAUUUGGCAGAUAUGUGAAAUAGCAAAAUACACCCUGGAAUUCAAUUUGUAUUUGAUUGCACAAUAGCUAAUUUCUUCAGCUACUUUUUCAGCUUCCUCUUAACACUUAUGUUUUCACUUGUAAGUUUUUUGUUUGGAUAUAAUGAGGCUUUGUGUCUUCUUAUGCCUUAUCUUAUGUGGGUGGUAGAAAAAUCACUCUACUGCUCCAAUAUUUGUGGUUGCGUGGGGCAGGUGGUUUCACGCAGAGCAAAAUGUCUGCAGUAAAUAAAAAAUAAAGAAGAGGAAGCUUCUUUCCCUUCUUUACACAUCUGGAACCUCUGCAAAAGCCCAGACUGAAUUUCAGAGAUGGAGAGGCCCUUUGCCAGUCCUUGCAGUUUUCGGUGACCUGGAGCUGAGUUAGGUUUUUACUGUGCAGUGACGGCCAGAAUGUCCCAAAUCCCAGCUGCCUCCUGUGUUGCCUAGGGGUCCUACUUCUUUUCUCUCCUCUUGGACUUCAGGCACUGCUUUUUCCCACCCCUCCCAAGACUCAUGCAUGGAACAGGUUAGAACUAGCUCUCUGGGACUUGUGUUCAAACACAAAAUGUGGUGAGAGUCUGCAUGAGCUGAUAGUACUCUCAGAAGUACAACUCCUUGCAUGGUGAGUGUGUUGAGCUCUUGUUCCAGGCAGAGAUGAAUCCUGGAAAUUUGUCUGCUGGGGAAAAGUAAUUCUGUCUCAAUAUUCCCUUGGAUAUCACUCUCAGACAGCUGAGGAACAGACCAGGUAUAAUACAUUCUAAUUAUAUAAUGUUUAGGUGUUGAUGCUGCCACCUAAGGAACUAGGGAUUUUAAGUCAAAAUUACCACAGCAGAUUUCUAAGGGGAGAUUUCAUCUACUUGUUAAUGGUAAGCUCCAGGACUCAGGCAUUAGGAUGUUCAUGCCAGUGAAUUUGUAGGCUUUGAGAUAAAUUCUUAGUGAAUCUACAAUUUCCUCUGAAGUUUUAGGCUAACCAAUCUGAGGCUGCUGUCACACCCUACAUCCCACCCAGAAGACCUGCUGAUCUACUGUCUGUACAUAUUAUAUCAAGGCCAAUUUCUGGAUAGCUGAAAUCAGUGAUCAGUGAUCCACCUAAGGCUUCACCCCAGGGAAGUGGUAGAGUAGCCAUCCCUGGAGGUUUUUGAGAAACUUGUAGAUGUGGCACUGAGGGACAUGAUUAGUGGAUGUGGUGGAAUGGGUUGACGGUGAGACUAGAUGAUCUUAGAGAUCUUUUCCAACUUUAAUGAUUCUAUGAUUCUUUAUUAUGUUUUAUGAUCUUUAUGGGGAGUUCCUCCUGUAGCCAGAAGGCCAUGUGCAGCUCGCCUGUCUUCAUGGACCAACAGUUGUGAAGAGAAGGAAACGAAACCGAAAAUCCUCUUUUGUUCAGAGGCAAAUGAUUAACUCCUGUAAGAGCACAGCACCUUUCUCAACCAUGUGCCCACCAAUGUUGCGUCUUGCAGAUGCUUUUGUAGAGAAACAGCAAUCAUCUCCACCAAAUGUAGGUGAAAACUUAAAAUCACAGAAGAGACUGAACAUAGUUAAAAAUGAGAGCUGCAGUGAGAUGUUUCUGGGCCAGCAAUUCUCCACUCCAUGAACCUUCUGCUUCCCUUCAACAGAGAUCGGCAGCAUCAGCAACCAGACACAAUUCAGAAUGGAAGGCUUUCAGGUUUAAGAUGAUGUAAACCCACAGAAAUGCAAGAUGAUUUGAACUGCGCCACAUCCAUGACAGUUGGUCGGCAGAGAUAUUAGCCAAUGAUGGUAGAAGAUACUUACGUGAAAAUGUUCGUAAGUAGGAAUGCUUAAAUAUAACUACAGUUAUUUCUUUGAGGACCAGAAAUAUAUUUAACAGGUUGCUUAAGCUAAUAUUUACAGAUGUAAGCUUCAGCAGUUAUCCCAGAGACAGGAAAAUACCUGAAAAUAGUAUCACCUUAUGCUAUUUGUUUGCUGAAUAAGUGGUUUGGUAAGAAAGAAAACUGCAAAAAUAGUAAUGGAUUUUUACCCAUUUUAAGUCUUACCAUGCUACAGUCAAUAUUAUAUAAUAUCAUGGUGAAAACUUUGUUAGCAAAUUGAAAGAGCUAAUUUUUCUAUAAACUAUGGAUAAAAAAAAGUUUUUAAGUAUCUCAAAAUUUUCAAGUUAACAAGAACAGAAUAUCAGCACUUAUCCUCUUUCCUCAUUAAAACCUGGCAUCUUUCAGGUCAGACAUUCUGAAGGUACCUGCAGAACUUCAUAUUAAACUACCUGUUCUUUCCCUCUAUGUGCUGAAAGUAUUUUGCUCCUUUAGAAUUUAUAAUUACCUUAGAUAAUGACUUCUUAGGACUCAGCGUCACAAUCAUAUUACUGUAAUCUAACAAAUGACCAUGAAUCAACUGAACAGAAAUAAUGGCUUAUGUAUGUAUUCUUAGUGAUUGGCAAAUGAGACAUUUCUGACACUAAAAGAGCAUUACCUAAGAUAGCGCAAGGGGCUUAGGAUCAUGAACAUAUGGGACAUUACAUAUUGUCUCGACUUUGCUGAUGUUAGGAAUCUUUUUAAACUGUAUUCUUUUGUGGAUUGGGACCUUUGCUUGCUUAUAGCCACAGAAUCAUGGAAUGGCCGAGGUUGGAAGAGGUAUCUGGAGUCAUCUGGCCCAUCCCUGCUCCAGCGGGACAACCCAGAGCAGGGUGCCCAGGCCCACAUCCAGGUGGCUUUUGGAGAUCUCCAAAGAGGAGACCCUCUCUGUGUCCCCGUGCCAGUGCUCUGUCUCCUGUAUAGCACUGAAGUGCCUCCUGAUGGACAGGGGGAACCUCCUGUGCCCCAGUUUGCACCCGUCACCUCUUGUCCUAGCACUGGGCACCACUGACAAGAGCUUGUUCGUGUCUCCUUUGCACCUUUCAGGGUGGUCUUAUAAGCCUUUAAAAUGUAGCUCCGAAAGGUAGGCUUUACAUAAGAGCUUCACCUAAUGUGAGAACUUUGUAAAAUCCUAAAUAAUGUCUCUGAAAUUAUGGGUAUCUGAUCUAUUUCUCUGCAGGGGAAAAAAUCUCCUAAUGACUCUGACCUUCUACUGACAGGUUUUUCUGUUGACUUGAACACUGCGGGAGUGGCUGCUUAAAGCUGGAAAUUCCCACCCAUUUUCCACUGUCUCUCCCAGGAGACCAGCAGAUGUUUGUUAUUAACUUUUAGCAGAUAGAUUUCUUGUUGAUAACUUAGUUUACCUUUUUAUUGCACAGAGGAAGCUGGGAAAUGCAUUGUUAUGAAGCACAACCUUUAAAAAUAUCUCCAUAUCCCAGAUUUUCUGUAAUAUUUCUGAAAAACAAUGUGUUUUCAAGGAACAGAGAUGAUUGGUUGAGUUUUCAAGCAUUUUAAAAUUUUGAAAUUAAAUGUAGCUUAGUAAUUAGUAUCUUGAUCAACCGAAUCUCAGUGUACCUGAAGAUCUCUUUUGUAUUAUCUGUAAGAUACACGGCAAUCUUCCUUGCAAAAUUAUUUGAAAUUUUUAUGAACAAAUUACAAAUCUACAAAUUAAAAUUUACUGGCUUGUCUUUUCCUGUAAUCAAAUCAGAAUGGUGUUGCCAAAAGAGACUUCUAUUUGCUUGAAACAGAUCUUGUGCAGAGCCUUUUCAGCAUCUCUGGUUCCAUUUGGGACUUUUUGGCAAUUUUUGGCAAUAUUCUUGGCAAUGGAUAUGUUUCUCAAUGAAAAAUUGAAUUUUGAAGCAAACAACUGAAAAUAUUUUCUCCUAAAAUCUUUCAUGAAAAGACACAUUAUCGAAUUGAAUGUUUUCUGUGUCCAUUAAUGGUCACAGUGAAUGACGCUGAUAAAGCAGGGAUCACAGGUUGCAUCUGUUCAUUUUGUGCGUGAUUCAAGUCAACUGCUUCAUCUCUUGCAUGUAAGGAAUCCUGAUGGCACUGAAGUUUCUUUGUGCUGUGGAAGCAUGCACUAUUAAUAGUAAUAAUUGCCUUUAGCUUUCUGACAGAGCAGUGUAUUUUCACUGUACCAAGAGAGAUGCCAUCAGCUUUCAGCAGUUUAAAUUAUAUUCAGGUUAACAGAGUCAAUGCUUUGUCCAAUUAAUGAAAUUACACUAAUGACAAAUAGCCAAAGAAGCAGCUGUAAUAUUUGAUGCCUAAUUGCUAUCCAAACCGCUUGUAAAGAACAAAUUACCGUGACUAUCCUAUUAAAAUAUAAAACUGCGUGCAUGAAGACACACAGCUAGGAGUGCUCAGUGCUAGGGAGGUUUAAGACAUGAUUGAUCUUCUCCUGCAUGUACACAAUUGUCAGUGUACGUGCAAACUGAACAUGAAUUUGAGCCCAUCUACAUCCAAGUGGUGCAUGUUCUCUGGCUAGACAAGGGGCAUAUCAAUGGUCAGUCGUGCAUAUCAGCAUAGCAGCAGUCACAUCUAACAUGUGAACUCAGUUUCUCAUCACUGUGUAGAAACAUCCUGUAGCCAAGAGGAAGAAGUGUCUCAGCAAAAACUUGGGGUGUGCUCCCUCAGAUGAGCCUUGUUUGUGCCAUACCUCAUGCUCCUGUUUUGAGUACAUCUUUUUAGGUUAAUGUCCGUGACUGUCAACUGAAGACUUGUCUGAGGUGUAACAGAAAUGGCCAAACUCUUCCCUUGGUUCCUAGGGUGUUGCAUCAUAAAUGUAAGUAAUAACAACCUGUGGCUAUCAUAAUUAAUAGGCCUACUUCUACGCUUCGAACUGAGAAGGCUCUACUGGCGCAAGGAACUCCAUGCUGCUCACUAGCCGGGGAAAACCUUCAUCAAGAAACUCAUAAAUAAAUCAAUCUAUUUCCCCAGAUUACUCACCCCAAGAUAGCUCUCUGUCUUCUGAAACCUGUGAGAAAGCAAAUUGCUGAAAUGCAAGUGUUUGUGGAGAUAUGGGAUCGUUUAACACUGGUUACCACCUCGGGCACUCUGGAAAGUCUCUGUUACACAAGGUUCAUUGCAGAGAUCUGAAUAUGUGCUAAACGAGCCCUGCAUCUCUGCCUUGUAGCUCUGAGAAUGCUAGGCAAGUAAUUAAGAAAUCACACGGCACAGGUGUGCCAGGUGAAUUUUGGUAGCUUGCUUUUGAUCUAAAUUGAGAUGCUCUGGGGAUUUAACUUCUUAAACAAAAAGGGCAUAAAUAAAUAAUCAGGAUUUUUUUUUUUAAGGUUGGAACAUGCAGGCUAUAAAAUUUUAUACAAGUAGGCAAUGCGAGCAGAUUGUUUAAGGCUAGGGCAUUGUUUUAAAUGGGGGUGUUGUUUUCAUUAACUUCGGUCUGAUUAGUUUUUUCACUGGGACUUUCCCCACUGAUAUAAACAGGAACAAUAUUUGGUUGUUGGGAACUAACUCCGGAAUAAGUUAAGAGAGUGUCUUUAAAAAUAGACCUUAAAAAACCAACAAGCCACACCAAAAGUUGGAAUAUUAAUUAUCAUGCAGGAAUUACUGAGUACUUCUUUUUAAUAUUCAUAAUUGAAAAUGAGACAGCUUUAAAGAUUGUAAUGAGCGCUUCAGAGUAUCGCUCUCUACUUAGAGCAUUACUUCAUAGCUGGAAGCCAAGAAACAGACUGACAGUCAAUUCUUAAAUUAUUCCAAGCCCACACAAUAGGCUCUUGCCACAAAUUCUCGGCAUGGGGCCUAUUUUGCUACCAUGUGGGUGUGGUGAGAUUGGGAUAAACAAGAACACAACUGCCCACUUUUGAGUUUUCAUCUUCCCUUAGGUUCAGUCUUACACAGAUACUUUCAGUUAGUUUGAAAUGUUUCAGUCCUUAUCUUUUCUUCCCCAACUGCCUGAUAAACCUGAGAUCAAAACUCUUGUGAAAAGAGUUCCCGAGUUAGAAAAAAAUGUGCCAGAAAAUAGAAGUAUUGCUCUGAAAGUUCUAGCCUGUUCUAUAGUCUUCUGAAGUACGAAAGCUUUCAUAUACUUUCUCCAAACAAAAUGGGUGGCUAUCUCUGAUCUAUCAGAAUGCCCUUAAAUUACUUCUUUUGAUACCUUGGGGAAGAAAGAUAGCAGAGGUGAUGUCAUAGGGCUCCUUCCAGCCUUGCUUGUGUGAUGUCGGCUCCUCACUUCAGAAACUUAAAUGUAAGGGAGGACACACACAGGGUAGAUCUCUGGAAGGGUGCUGUUACAAAGCUCUCAAUACUACAGAUGUGUUAUAGUCAGUUUGCAAAUACUAAUUUAUUCCUGUUUUUAAGAAAAAACAGGAGACCAAUUUUCACUAUGGGUUGAAACCUCUCUUCAAUGAGACUUUGGUAUUGUGUGUGAUUUACUGUUUGAAGUUCAGUACUGUGGGAAAGUUGUGAUUGUAGGGUACCAGUGUAGUGUAUGACUAAGAGAAAUAGGAAUGGUGGAAAUAGGAAUUGAUGGAGGAGUUGGUCCGUAACUCUGAAAUCCAGAGCUGAGUACAACUUGUGAUUUUGCAAAGGUUGAAUUCUGACUUGCAUCAGAUAUAGAGAAAGACUGAAGUAACAAAGAAGUGCUUCAGAACAGUUUUUCCUUCUAUUCCAAGUACUGGACAGCUGCUUUAGCACAUCUCCAGCAGGAGUAAAAUGUGCUGUUACGUUCUUUUCUAUGUAGAGCCCUGAGGGGAAAAUCGAUGCCCCUCAAAUAGGAUCUUAUCGCUGGUUGUUGUUUUCUGCUAAAAUGUCCUCUGCACUCUGUUUAAAAGAACAAGGCUGUUCUGUCACUUCUACUCUUAGGAGACCUGGAGUGUUAAUAGGGUUUUUUCCAUCUCAUUUAUUCCAUCACUGCCUCCUGUUCUCAGUCUAAAUCUUGAGACUAAGAAUCAAAUAUUUUCACUGAAAAGCACUGAACUUUAGGAUUUUUUUUCCCCUUGAUAUUCCAUAGAGAGGAACACUAUCAGCUGUAGUGAAGGGAAAUUCUGCCCCUUGGUGUGACCUUUUACUCCAGUGAUUGGUGUACAGAAUUUGCCUUUCUUUCUUUUUCACUGCUCACCAAUAUUUCCCACAUCUCUUUCCCUCCAAUUAAAAUAUGAGUAAAUUAAAACGAAAGUGGGGAUUAUUUUCAGCUAAACACUUCUAGUCUGGAUUUUUCUCCAGAUAGCGUUUUCCCCCCAGGAGCUGUUGGAUUUCUCAUGAGAACAAAGAUAUUCUGGUAUUUUGACUUUGAGGAGAUCUGAAAUAUUAAUGAUAACAUGGGAGUAAUGAGGAAAUCUGGACUGUGAAUAAACUCAGCCUGUGCUUCACUGAGGUCCCAGGUAUCAGCCCCUCCCAUAUUGUUGGAGGGAAAGGUGUGCUCCCUGCAUUGCUUCUGCUCUCACAGGGAAUAAGUAGACCACACUGAACUACGAAGACAAAAUUCUGUCACUCCAGAGUUCAAGGACUGCUUUCUUUUAAGCACACUUCAAUAAGAAUGUCUUCUCAUGUCACAAUGAAAAUAAGAGAAUUUGGUGAAAGCACUUGGAUGACCUCUGUGAAAUGAAUUGGGUAUGGGACGUGUUGCCUCCUCUUCACAAGAGGUCUCAUGGUUGAGCAUCUUCUCCUCACUGAAAAGGUUAAAGCAGCCAUUCAAAUGUGCUCAUGUGUAUUGCAACUGUCCCCACUAUAAAAGUAGGCAACCAGAGAGUUUAGCCUUGCAGCCCCAUUCAGGGAGAAAUGUAAGGACAGACAAAGCCUGUUCCAUAGGUAGCUCACACAGAUUUCCAAAUGCAGUUAAUUAGGGCCAUGGAUGAUAGGCUCCCAGAAAUGAAACAAUCAAUGUCAAUGUCUACUUUCAACAUGCAGCUCAAGCAUCAUGUUGGAUCAUAUUCGUACUAAGAUCCUUCACCUUGUCAUGUUGGUCUAUUACUGCAGUGGCAACAUAUUAAUUACUAGGGAAAUUAAUUUUCUUGUCCUGCUUCAACAAUGAGGACCCUGUGGACUCUCCUUGGUUUCCAGACUUGUUAUCUCUUACAAGAGUGAUAUACUCAGCAUUUGAAGUUAAUUCUCCCAUUUUAAAGGUAAGAAAUUGAAACUCAGAUAUGUUAUACAAGUUCACACUUCCAUCAUAGCAUUAAUUCAAGACGCUAUUUCCCCCAAACAAAGUGCUAUUUCAACAAUUGCAUAUGCUGCAUUUAGUUUAGCACUUGUUUAUGAGUCAUAGUUAUAAGCAUAUGUAAUAAAGAGCCUGACUCUAGGAUCUAUGGCUACUCAACAUUUGCAGGCAUAUCUGAAUGUUACAGAGAUAGCAAGCAUGAUUAUAAAAAUAUUUGUGCAGUAUGAAAUAUUAAUGAACACCAUUUAAUUGUUUAAAAAAUGCAAAAAAAUUAAUCAUUUGAUAUUUUCACGAGUAUCUGUUUUUACUUUUGAGUAGGCUCUAUCACAAGAGGGCUCCUUUUGUUUAUUACAUAGGCAAAUUUGCUACUUGGUAAAAUAAUAACCAAAUAAACAAAAAUACAAAACAAAGAAGCCAACAGGUAUGGUGCUGACUUAUAGCCAGAUCUGCCCCAGGUAUUUUCUUCUGUUUUGAAAAUGAAAGCUUAAUCUAAUUAGAUCUUGGAGGAAAAUAGUUGUGAUAUGUUUUCUGUAGGUAAAAGGACAUGCUUAAUGUACUUUAUUUAUGUUACUGAUUUUACAGUAAGUAAUAAAAUUUAUUUAUUAAUAAAAUGCAUAGAAUCUGUUUGAAAAUGGCUUUUUAAUGAAGUAUAAGCUUUAUUAGACAUAGGUUAAUAAAACACAGCAUUACAAUAAUACAGAUUUUGUCAAUAUGUGAAACAUGGGAGCAUAAAUUGACCUCAGUCCUGCUGCAUAUGGCUAUUGAUUUUGGUUACAAACCAGGAACUAUGUCUUGUGUUUAUUUGUUUCUACACUGUAUCUGAAAAGAUUUUCCUCCUCCCUCCAUCAAAACACUUCCAUAUUUUACCACUUUCCGGUGGAAAUGACAGCAGUAAAGAUUUGCAAACCACGUGAGAAAGGACACAAUUUCUUGAUCAUUAAUAUAUUAAAUAGGGACUGAAAGGCUCACCAUGCUUGUUUGGACAUCCCAACAUUGCUGAGAUUUCCAUAUGAUUUCACAAAUGGACUGAAAGAAGAUGGACAAGCGCUGGGAGAGGGCCAGUUGUUAUGUGCCAUUUGAUUCCAUUAUUUCCUUGCCAGUCAACCAAAACCUUUGUACAGAUAGUGAAAAGGGGAAUAUUGCACUAUAGUCUCUUUGGAUACUGCAUAACAUGAAAGAGGAUGAGCUCCUCCAAGCCUCCGACACCAAGAGCUGCGGGAACAUUCUUUGUGAUUUGUUUGCUGAGGAGAGUCUUACAUAGAUCAUAGCAUCAGCACAUGCCAUCCCCUGGAACCAAAGCGUUGUUUUAGAUGACUUCUAGACAUACCUGUGAGUACUUCUGAACAUUUCAGAGUGUAAAUGAUUCUGUUAGUGCACUGUUUAUUGGCUACCUCUUGUAACUCUUACAUAACCCAUAAUAAAGUAGUGGGCUAGGCUGUCUAGUGAAACAAUACAAAGUGACAAUUAGCAUCAUCAUCAUCCUGCAGCAGAACACUCUUACCUAAUAUGACAGGUCUGAAAAGAAUUAAGCAGCUCUUUCCAUCAAGGGUUUGUGAAUGUAGUAAGGAGUUUUCUGCAGCUGUUAAGUGGUGUGCUAUAUCUUAUAGAGAACUAUUGUAUAUAUAUAUAUAUAUAUAUAAUGUCAGCCGCUGGGCGUUAGUUAGAUUAAUGUCCUCUCCUUAACAUGAACGCAUGGAAGGUAGACCAUGUGAUUAUGCAGGUAUGGUAAUUAUCCUUCAAAGAGUUGGAAGGCUUUGACGUAACCUCUGUGUCCCAAAUUUGUUCGUUCCAGUACUCGCUACAGGGAAGAAUAAGGACUUGAAUCUGCAAGCCUUUCCCAUGUGACAAUCUGGUAUUGCGCCUUAUAGAAUCUGGCAAAACUGUAAAUGACAGGAACCUUUUUAAGAACUAAAUGACUUAGCAGAGACUUUUUUUUCCCCUGAUAAAUAAAUUCUCUGAUAUGCUGUUCAAACAUGCAGGGACAUGCAUGAACCGCUGUAAGUACUCCAAUUUAUAACUGCUUUGCAACAGGCCACAACAAGCUAGAAUCAUCUUUUAAGUAUUUAAUUUUUCUGUUUUGUUUUGUUUUUUUUUUUGUACAUCUUUACAGCAUGUUAGAAUGCACCUUGUAAUAAAGCAAUUUCUCCACAGUAUAUUAGUAAUCAGUAAUUAUUCUUCAGAGUUCUGUCUGCAGUGCAGUGCCUCUUGACUGGAAAUGUGAAGGCUGAAUUGGUUGCCUCACAGCUUGGCUGUGAGAGUAUCCAUUCCACUACUCACAAAGACAAGAGACAUCCAGCAUACAGUAACCCUUCAAUUAUUUCAGUUAUUUUGAUCUGGCUAGGUGUUCAGUCCAUAUUAACUAUACAGUCAACAUUUCAACUUAUAUCAAGUUUUCACUGUUUUUGGUUGCAGUAGAUAUUCUUGUCAAGAAGGGAGUCAUUUGAAUCAUUAGAAAUGAGUAGAAACACAGGCUUUUUAGUCUAGACCCGAUACUCGUGGUGGAAGACUAGUUCUUGGCUGGUUAGUUCAUGCCUAGGUCCUUUAGGGCAGGAUUAUCACAUGAAUUUGGAUAUAAAGGUAUUCAAACACUUUCCUAUAAAGGAUUUUUCUGAGGAUACUACUCAUAGUGGGAGCCUCAACCCACUGCUUUCCAUGCCCAGGAGCCUUGUUUCAGUCCUGCCUGGUGCUGGUUGUCUUGCUUUGGCAAUGUUGCAGGAGAACUGCUCUACAGCAGUGUCUCUGGGCCCACCUCCUUCUGCUCAUGGCAGGUUGAUGGCUUGCUGUGUUGGGGGCUGCCAGAGGAUGAUGUUAUCAGCCCUGGCUCUACCACUGCCUCAGCCCCAGUGGAACUGUACCACCAAGGAAGGCCUGGCUCAACAGUCUCAGUGGGUCACAAGCACCUAAAUUUUAUUAUAUUGUCUUUGAACUAUCUCUAUUUCUAGGAAGAAUAACAAGAGCAGUGCUGAGAUAGAACCACUGAUGUUAGAUUUGUUGGUAGGGACAAAAAGUUUUUUUUUCCCCUCUGUCUAUGCCUGUGUAUAUUUGUAGAUCUAGCUUGUACUUCUUGUCACUCUGAGGCUCAUCAGAUUUUUUCAUGCAAUUCAAGUGGAGCUUUGCCAAGAAAAAUUGUUAAUUUUAGAUUCUAAUUUUCAAUAAGAACAGGUAAGGCAGGACACCUAUGAAUCAGUUGAUAUGGAUAUUUACCCAAUAAGGAUAUACUAUUUAACAUGAGGUCAUACCAAACCCAGACACAACUUCUUUUUUCCUGUUCAGAUAUUCUUCCCAGCUGCCAGCAGACAAAGUCUCAUCCCUUUGUACACUGGAGGUACUGUGAACUAGUGCGAGUGUCAAACUGCAUUGUAUACAUUCAAAGAGAAAAAUGUUACAUUUUCAAGAUCAAUGGAGAUCAUCUACUUUCAUGAUGCAUUGCUCUCACUAACAGUGAUGUACGGGAAGCACCUGAGAGUCAAUCUGGAAACUUCGUUGGCCAGGACACAACAAUAUCUCUUGGUUGUUGCUGCAUGGUCUGGCAGCUGUUACUGCUAAUCUGGUUAUCAGGGCCUGCAGGUGUAUCUGUAUUUACACAACUGGCUUCUAAGGACCUACAUUUAUCAAGUCAUGAUUUAUACUCUACAGAUUGCUUUUUUUUCUUGCAUUCUUUUUAUUGAACAGUGAGGACAAGACAGGAUAAGGAAAGCUUGGCUUUAUUUUCAUGUAGGCUCAAGACUUAUUAAAUUCUCCUGCAUCAGUUUGCUUUCCUACAAGUGUCCCUGUCUUUGCUGAAAUGAGUUGCCAUGGAGAGCUGGCAGCAGCAUGGUUUAGGUACUGCACACAUCUGUAUAAUCCACCUGAGCACACUGGGUGCAUGCCAUGUAUUACUGCUGGAUGUGGACAGAGAGGAUUUCUUAUUUGGGUGCAACAGCCUAUGAAUACAGAUCUGGCUUCAUGACCUGGCAUGGUGUCUCCUCCUGGCGCUGCACUGAGCUGGGAGCUGGGGAUCUCUGCUAACAGAACAGACAUGCCCACUUUAGUACGUGCAGGUUGCAUCCAGAUGGGUGAACUUUCUGGCUUUCAUUUGAUGCUUUUCUCCCCUAGAUCAUAGGGAAGGUGGGUCUGGCAGACAGUGCCCUGAGCAGUGGUUUAUUUGAAGAGUCUCCAGGGUAUACAAACGAAUACUCACCUCCUCUUGGGAUAAGAAAUGAAGUUACUGCAUGUAAGUACAAAUGCCCAUAAGUUUUCAGUGGGAAGGUGACUCUGAAGAAUGUAGUUUGGGUUUAUCAGGCUUAAUUCUGUAUCUGUCAACUCCAUUAAUAACGGGCUCUUUCUUCUCUUUCCUCUGAAGGCAUCUUGCUUAAACUGUAAGGUCAGGAGUGUCAUUCUGGUGCUGUGCCAUUAAACUCCCUGCCAACACUUCCACUGGCUUUAUUAGGUACCUCCCACUCCACAAAUCACUUCAUCUGGAUUUCCAGGAGAAAUAGUGCUUCUUGGAAUGACUGAGUUAUUCUAUGAAGUCGUGAUAUUUGUCAUGUGAAAUAAUUGUCCAGAGAUAUUGUCUUUUUAUUGGAUUUUUUUUCUAAGAUUAGUUUUUGUUCUUGAUGAUAACCUCGGUUGCCCUGUGAUAUGACCAAAGGUUUCUUGGCAGCUAGGUGUCUUUCAUAUUACUGUAAGUCACCUAUAAAUGUUUUGAUGGGAGUGCAUAUUCAUGAUCAUGAUGAAUGAAACUGAAAUUUUAGUUCUCUGUUGGCCUCCAAAUGUUCUUCUUUCUCUGUCCCUUCUUGGACCUGUCGUUAUGGCUUUUGCUGUUGGCAACCAAGUAGAAUGAUAAUGGGGAGUCUUCCAAAUAUAAAUGUUCAUAAAAAUGAGGCAACAGUAGCCAAGUACCACCAAGAAGAAAAAAAAACACUGAGUGCUAGAAUCCACCCAAAUUCAUGACUGCUAUUCUUUUUUUAUUCAUUUUGUUUAAAUCAGAAAUUCUGUCAUUAAUACUUCACUUCCAUUAUCUUCCAGUUUAUACACAGCUGUGCUUUAUAAAUGUAGAGGGAAGUACUGAUUAUUUCUGAGAUGGAACAAAACCUUUGAGAUUAUCUGCUUGUAGUUUCUGAUGAAGAUCCCAGGGCCGGCCCACUGCAGCUUUCAGAACAACUUUGUAGCUGCUUGGUGAAAUGGGGGAAAUGUACCCUUCUGGGUCUCUGUCAAAAGGGCAGCUACCUGGAAACUGAAGGUCAUGGAGCAGAAUUCUUUGCAUUGGAAGGGAUCACUCACCUAGCUGGAGCUUGGGAAUGUCUGAAGACCACGAAGAGAUGACCUGGAAGGCCUAGUGAGAAUAGAAGGGACUGCAGCCUUUGGGAAACAGUAAGUGUGGGAUUUCUUAUCAUGAAGCAGUCUCAACAGAUGACAAAGUUGAUACUAGGUUUUGCAAACCUCUGCUGAUUCCUGUUUAUGUGUGCACAGCACAUACUCUCAAUUGUUGCAAAACAAUUUUUGCACUGGAUUAUAAUCCACAUUGGAAAGACAAAUGGGGACUGAUCAUUGCAUUCACAAAUAUAUGCGUAUAGACUGCUGGAGAGACUGUUGCUCCCUAGCACCAGAGAAAGGCCUGUAGAAAAACAUAAAUCAUGUACCAACAAAUGUAGAGAAAGGGGGAGAAAAACGCAUGUAAUAUUUUAUUGUAGUACUGAGCCACAUUUCCGCAGCAGAGUUCCUUCUUUCAGCUUAAACGGGCCAUUACUAUAUUACAGUGCAAACUCUAGAGAUUUUCAAGGGAAAAUAAAGGGGCAUUGUCAUCGUAUUGUCCUUCACUAACAAAAGUUACCUCCACUGUUUAAAUAAUAUCCUUGGUCUUUGGCUCCAUGCAUUAUUUAAUAAUCUUAGAAACUUCUGUGACCUUUAAGCAAUAGUAAACUGUGAUUGCUUGACAAACAGGUCAAUGUUUGCAUAAUAGUUGUGUCUUUGGAGGUACAAAAAUAUUCAUCAGAAUGCCUUGACUGGCUUCCCUCACCCUUCAUUUCUUUGGCAGUUCUCCAGCAGUAUUGCCCUCUGUUAAACAUUAUUCCACUUCAAGGGUAUUUGCAGGACUAGGAAGCAGGCAGUGUGUUAUAGCACUUGAAAAUGCAGGGUGGGGGAGGUUGUAUGUCUCUGAGGCAUGCUUACCAAUGCACACGCAUAUAUGCCAUGAGUAGCUGUUACCUUUGGUAGAAAGUAUGUGUUGAAAAAAGUCAGUAAAAUGAUGGGGUAGAUACGUUAGAUUUAUUCCUGGUUAUCAUGCACUUUGUUUUAGAAGGAUGACAAACUGGUAUUUUCUGUUUGAAGGGCAUACUUGAAAGCAAGGAACUGGGUUUGAACUUCUGGUUUUAUUGUUAGCAGUGUUGGUUGCAGGGCCAGUUAAGCAAACAUGUGGGCUCCUGCAUGCUCCUUAGCAAUACUUAAAGGGAAAGUUGUAUUGACACAUUCUCUAUUACUUAAGUUUGAAUUAGAGGGAUCAUAAAAGUUAGAAGUGGUCUCAGAGAAGAAUAUUGAAGAAUGCAGUAACUUAGUUCCGUGGCAUUUUAUAUGAAAGCGUGUGUAGUUUCACCGUCAACUGCUUGAUGUUAAAUGCCUCUAUGGUAUCUAUUUCCCACUGGAAGGUAACCGUGCCCUCUGCAUAGCCAUAUGAGAACAGAGUAAUACCAAUUUCACUUAAGUAAACGUUUUUUUUUUUUCCACUGCAAUGCAGUACGCAUACACAAGUGUAAAUGCAAACAUAUCUGUAGUCAGUAUAUGUAUCGGUUUGUAUCCUCAGUUGCAGCUAAUACUGUACUCCAAAUACUAUGAUCAUCAGACGAACAGAAAGGAUAAGAAGAUCAUUUUGAGAAGUUUUCAAGGAGACAACUAGAAAAUGUUGAUUUCAAAGUUAUAGUGUAAUUCGAGUCAAUGUAUGAUGGAGCAAUGUGGAAAUUAUCCCAGCUUGACGAGAUGCAAGACCUUACAAGUAACUCUACAAAAAUUAGAAUUAUUGGACGAGAAAAGCACCUCAAUGAUACAUUGCACUUCAGUGGCUUCAAGGGUCCCUGGAUGAAGCCAUUUAGCACUUGGUAUGUUUUGGAAACUUAGGUAUGGAGCAUUCCUGAAAGAGUCUGAACUCAGACGCCAGACAGGUCCCUCAUGUUUCCAGCUUCUCUGAGUCUACAUAGUUUGGCAAUAAAUGGGGAACUGAGAGUGGCUCUGAUAACAGAACAAGUUCAGAAACUUAACGCUCUCUCAGACCCGAAACCAUGACAACUGACAUUGCUGACAUCCUUUUCACAAGUCCUAUUGCACUCUGUUAUCUUCAGCUUCUAACUCUGCUUUGAGAGAAACGUCUUUAUUUGAGGAGCUUAAAACAGCCUCAGGUCUUCAGGACUGUGGCCCUGUUUUCCAACGAGGAUGUGGGAGCUGUAAGGGCCAGUGAGAGACUUACUGCUAAUGGACACAUUACCUUUACAAUCCUGGAGUAUAUUGUUAUUCAGAUAACAGGAAAUACUCAUCAAUACUGCUUAAGGUCUGAAAAAGUAAAAAGGACAACCUAGCUGAUGUAACUACUCAAUUACAGUUAAGAUUUAGAUACAUUAACACAGGAAACAUUAAUUAAUGUAACUUCACUGACAGUGACUUCAAGCUUUAACAGUGACUUCUAGCUGCUAAUGUUAUAGUUUUACAAGAUGUUAAUGCAAUUCUAAACAUUUUUUGAAGAAUAAGGCAGCUUGAGAGGAAGGGUGUAAAAUCUUUGAUUCUCUUCACCUUAAUAUUUAAAGAAUAAAACCAUUCUGGAAUAACAUCUUCAGAAGAGAACCCUCAAAUAUACAGACAAUCUUAUAAAACACAGAGUUUAUGGUAAAAAAUUAUGGAAAUAUAGAAAAUCAAGUCUGACAGGGAAAACAUGUUUGUGAACAGUUGGAACUAUUCUCCUGAGUGUCACUUUUAAUGAUAAUUCAUAGUCAUUGAGGCCAUUAAGAUUGGAAAAGACCUCCAAGAUCAAGCACAACCAUCCACCUACCACCAAUAUUUCCCCACUAAACCAUGUUCCUCAGUACAACAUCUAAACAUUUCUUGAACACCUCCACGGACAGUGACUCCACCACCACCCUGGGCAGCCCAUUCCAGUGCCUGAUCACUCUUUCAGAGAAGAAAUUUUCCCUAAUAUCCAACGUGAAUCUCCCCUGGCGCAACUCCAGUUCUCUCCCCAAUCCCACUUGGAAGAGGAACAGUGAAUGAAUGACUGUGUGGUGCUUUGCCACUUGCUGGGUUAAACCAUAACAGUAAGGCAAUCUUUUAAUUCAAUAUAUGCAACACUUAGUGCAGUAAGAUCUUGUUUAAUGGAUCUUUGGCAUUAUGUUACCAUCAUUUUUCUUACUGAAAUUUAACUUGAUCAAAUUCAUAGUGAAGUGGAAUGAAAUCUUCCCAGUUCACAAAACAUUACAGCAGUUAGAACCACUGCAGUUCUCAUCUGUUACAUUCUAGCCUUAUACCAGUGUAUUAGUGUAAAGGUAUAUUUCACUAUAAGAUGAACCUCAAGAGGGCCUAAACUGCAUUUUUAUCAAAUAAUUUUGAAACAAUUGGAGGAUUGCUGGAAGAGUUCUUAAGUUAGAGGAUGUUCUAUCCUCUCUUGCAGGCAGGUCAAGUCAUAGCACAUCCUGAAGCUGGUUCUGCUCUGACAGCAUGCCUGCACGCCAUGCAAUGGCCUUGGUGGAGAAACAGUGCUGUGUCAGAAGGAGCUGUUGAUUCAUCAUGAUUAAAAAAUGAUCUUCAGAAUUCUUGGAAAAUGGAUGAAAUAUCCAUUAUAGAUUUUAUGAGUACUGUCUUUAACAUGAAAGCUUUUUAAAUUGACCAUGAUUCAUACUAAUAAAUGAAUAUACUUUAAAAAAAAUAGAAUCUAGAAUACAGGACUGCAGAGAACAACUCAAAACCUACAGUGACUUUUUGAGUUACUCUGUGGUGAAGAAGUAAGUAGAGAAAGACAAGUUGAUGAAUUAGGCCAAAUACUUUGCACCUUUAACAUCUACUGAAAUGGAUGGGGGCUGAAGAUUCAUACAGCAUCUUGCACAUCAAGGCUUUGUUACCACUAUUAGGUCCUUUCCCAUUAUGAAAACUACCUACGAGACCAUCCUUGAUGUCUGAUGUGCCUUGAUGGGCAGAACUGGAAGAGGGACAGAACUGUGCUUCUGACUCCUGUUUACUCCAUACUGCAUGAUUGUUACGUUCAUGAACCUGGUUUGGCAAUCACUGUAAAGGAGGAAAUAGUAAUCAUGUAAUUUCUUCAUAUACUGGAAAAAAAUACAAGAAAUAAGGCUGAGCUGUUUUUAAACAACCAAAGAACUAUUUGGAAAAUAAUUACAAAGCAAUAAAUGGGCAUACGUGAGGCAUAUAUAUCAAGACAGUGAAAGACAGGAAGUAGGAAAUGACAUUUUUCCUGGCCUAAUGUAUGAUAAUAAUCACAAGAAAUUGCAAUUUAGAGAAAACACAUUUCUUUUUGCUCCUAUCUGUAUUUUGGUAAAUUACUGUUCUCUGUUGUGACAGAAAAUUAAUUGCUACUGUGUCUGUUGAUUGCUUCUUAAUGACAUUGUAAUACACAGCUUUUUGGUUCAAUGUUAUUCUCAAUUCAAAUAUCUUUGUAAAUAUCAUAUACGGACUAUCUUGUAAGUAUGAUAUGAUUCAAGUUAUGCUUGUAAAACCUCCACUUAAAAUGAAUCUCCAUGUGACAGGUAAUUGGCUGCGGGCCUUUUUUUUGUUAUUGAUUUAACUUAAUGCCAAUGUACACAGGUGUGUUGGCGGGUUGUUCAAGCUUCCAAGGCACCCACAUUUGGCAGGACAAUUAAUUGUUGCAUAAUAAGAUUAUUUUCCCCCUUCAGUCCUGAAUCUUUUCAAAAGUUGUAUUUUAAACCUUUGUAGGUAUGUAUGUGGGUGAGAGAAAAAUACCCAACAAUGUUACCAUGAGGCAUGUUUCGAUUUAUUGUUUGAGGUGCUCAAGGAAACAGCAACAUAUAGAUAAGAUAUCUGCAAAUAUAUAUUUGCCAACUGAAGUGGAAAAAAAGAACAAAAAGCUUUAUAUAAUCAGGCUUUUACAUGCUAUAUAAAAUUCUAUAUUGCUAUCAGACAAAAUUGCUUAUUUUAGACAGAAAUACUACACUGAAAAUAUUAGCUGUCCGGUCUGCUUUACAUGUAGAUAGGAGAUACAAUUUGCCCUUGGACACAGAAAUAUCUGCAUCACAGACGCCCAGCGAAGGACUCAUUUGAAUACUUUGAGCAAAAUCCUGGCUCUGUUGAAGUUGAUGGGAAUUUUGCCAUUAACUUUGGUUGGACUUCAGUUUGCUUCUCCAGUGUGUAGUAAGGUAUGCAUCCCUGAGGAGUACACAGGGUAAUCUGGAGAAAGUGAACAACGCCACAGGAGUAACAGCUGGCCCAAAUUCUAGGGAGAGCAGUGACCUUAGAGGAAAAGAAGAGGCAGCACUGCUGUGGGAAUGCAUUGUAUGGAGAGGUGGGAGGAGAUUUCAUGAAAGGAUGUACAAGAUUGUUCCAAGCAUAGCAGGUAGCAUGACUGAACGUGUAAAAUCAAGAGCUGAAGAAAACACUUCUACUUUCACAAGCCCUAAGAAAUGAAUGAAGAAUGAAAAGUGUUGUGUCCAAACUUUGGAAGAGCUGGUUCUGUGAAAAGCUGUGUGAUGGCUCUUCUUUUACCCAGGUGUUUAUCUUGGGCUUGGUUCAAAAGCAAGGAUUUGUUUUGCCUUCCAGAUUUAUCCACUAAAUUGUGUUUCAUGGGGUCAUGCAAUCAGCUGUCCUCUCAUAAGAAAAAGGCCACAGCUGAGGAAACCAGGCCAGUUCAGGACUGCAGAGCCUUUGCCUGAGUGACUCUGAGAAGCUGCAUUGCACCUGAGUGGAAAAUCACUCUCCCAGGCCAAGGGAUGAUUUUUUAUCCUGGUGCUUUGUUUUCUAAAAAACUAUCCUGUCAAGCUGUGACUUAGGUUAAAAGUCAUUGGCACCACAGACAAGAAGUUGUCUGCUUCCAUAUAGAAGAGCAGAUGAUACACAUUCUGUAAAAAUCCAUAUAAAAUAUUUAUCAAAAUCUCAUUGCCCUGGAUGCCUACCAGAGACAAUCUGAAAAUUAAAUAAUUGCUGUUUAACUUUCUCUUUAGACACCCAAACACUUUAUUCUGCAGUAUAUGGCAAUGGAGUAAAACAUACCAAAAUAAAACUUUGUUGACAUAGAGCUUUGUUUUAAUUUAAAGGGCUCUCAGAAGUCCAGACUGCUCAGAAAUAAUCCCAUUUUUUCUUGGCUGACUGCAACAGCUGACAGACACUGAUACAGAAGAUGAGAUGCAUGUAUGUGUGAAAGAUGGUAAUGGUAAUGGUUUGCUCUCCACCAGCAGAAAUUAAAGCCCAGUCAGUAUUUUCAGAUUGCUUAUUAACCCUGUUAGAUUGGUUUGGGAGAAGAACCAUCCCACAUGGAAAAUGCUCCCAGCUGCUGUGAGCACAGUGCAGUAGAAGCAGGUACUGCCAUGUGUGCUACUGCAGACAGUGGUAAGCCCCCUCCCUUCCCCUAUGCUUAAAAACAAAACAAGACAAAACAAAACUCAGUUUCUUCGGUGUACACAAGAGAAUGUUUGGCAUUUGCUACUACUGAGCAGCAUUCUUGCCGUGUUUUGCUAUCUGUCAAAUGGCAUGCUCAUCCUCUGCCAAGAAAAAUACUUGUUUCCAAUACUAAUCACGCUCCCUGACUACCCUCUAGUGUAUAUUCUUCCUGGACUGCUAUCUGUCCAUGCAACAUUUGAAAGAUAUUAAAAUGAUUAUGAUGAAAUCUCUUGCUUACUGUGCUGGCAAGAGCUGGGAUAUGCUCCAGAGUCAAUGCCUGUAGUUCCCAGGGAGAAGGCAGUGCCUAAAGUUGCUUCUUACUGACUGCCUCCAUCCAUCCACAUGUAGGCAGGACAUUGUCGAGCUCUGUGUGGAGCCACAGACAGGCUCUGCUCUGGUGUAAUGUUGUUAAGGUAUGAGUUGCUGGAGAAAUGAUGAAUAAAGAGCAGUUGGUAGGUAGAUCCCAGAGCCACAAGUGAUUGUACUUAUAAAAGGAGAAGAUUGUUGUGAAAUGUGUAAUGAUACUUGAAAGGCAGUAGCUGGCAAGUCAGCAUGAAUGGUUUUCUAUUUUGCUCUUCAUUUGGUGAGAUGGAAUAAGGGUAUCCACACUGGCCCCAACUCCUCAGACUGGGGAUGAUACAACUACAAGGUGCAUCCCUACAUGGUCAGAUCAUUUUGGUAUCUCCUAAUGCUAACACCGAGACUUUCGGCCUUUGAAAUUCCUGGAAGUCUUAUGAGGAGUGACUGAGGGAACUGGGAUUGUUCAGUCUGGAGAAGGCUCAGGGGAGACCUUAUUGGUCUCUACAACUGCAUGAAAGGAGGUUGUAGUGAGGUGGGUGUCGGCCUCUUCUCCUAGGUAACAGCAGUUAGGAUGAGAGGUGAUGGCCUUAAGUUGUACCAAGGGAGGUUCAGAUUGAAUGUUAGGAAAAAAUUAUUCUCAGGAAGAGUAGUAACACAUAGGAACAGGCUGCCUAGGGAGGUGGUGGAGUCACUGUCCCUGGAAGAGUUCAGGCACUGAGGGGUAUGAUUUAGUGGGCAUGCUGGGGAUGAGUCGACAGUUGGAGCAGAUGAUCUUGGUCUCUUCCAACCUUAAUGAAUCUAUGAUUCUAGGAUAAUGAUUCUAUGAAGGAUUAGCCAGUUGUUCCUCCACCUAAGACAUAACUUUUUACUUCCCCCCCCCCCCAAAAAAAAAAAAAAGUUUUUUGAUCGACAUAUUCAUAUGUCCAUUUGGCAAUUAAAUGUUCUGUUUUUAUCCUCCACAAUGUAAGAGCUGCAUCUCUUUCAGGAAUCUAAAUCUGAUUUGUGUCCCACCUUACCAACAGACUAAUUAUGACUUUAGCAACAAGUGCCCUGAGACACCUCUGCAAACUAUUGAUGCUCAGAGUUGAUCAAGGAGAAGCUAGAAGCAUCUCCACAUAUUCCUGUUGUGCGUUGCAAGCCACAGCUCAACCACCACCAUUAUGGCAAACUUCAUUUGUUUUUGCAGACAUCAGGGUGGAAUUUGUGUCAUUUCUCUUUCAGCAUCUACAGAAUAGAUAUCUACAGCUGUGCUAAUCACUCUGGGCUCUCCUUAUAGGCAAGGAAGAGAAAUAAGUGUUUUUAGGGUGCAGUUUUCCUGACCUACUGUAUACAUUUACUUAAGGAGGACGAAUCACACUCAAGAUUCCUAUGCAUAGCCUGUCUAUGUCCUCACUGACUGUACUGAUAAUCUGGGAUGAUUAGCUUAACUGCGUACCAUACGCAUGUUUAUUUACCUCUGCUUAAUUACAUAAGUGAUAUCCACUGCCCAUUACAGAGCAGGCUUUGAAUGUAGAUGAUGUAGGCAAUUUCUGCAAGUAUUAUAGCAGACUGAAGCAAGCAGUGGUGCAUCCUCUUUCCAUGAAAUGGAAGAACUGUCUUUGUUGAGAGGAGGAUACUCUAAUUCCUUCUGUUUCUCCAUGGAACAGGACCUGACUCUUCUGGAAGAAGCAAAUAGGAGACAUUGACGUUGGCAGCAGUGUGAACUGUAGGUGGAGGAGUUAAUUGAGAGGUAGUUUAGGGACAUGGCAGGUUGCACUGGCUCCCAAAUGAUUAGAGAUGGUGGGGGAUCUGGUUGGGGAUUUGCUUAAGGAUCCCACCCAACUCUGCUCCAGAGGCAUUAAACAUCCCUGUGCUACCUAAUUCCAUUCCUUCUUUGUCUCAUGGAGUGUCCUGAAACCUCCUCAUAGCCCUCACAUUCACCUCCCCUCUCUCUCUCUCCAAAACCCAAUUUCCUCUCCCCAUCCUCCAAAGUGCCCUCAACUGGUCUCUUCUAGCCUCCUUUCUUGAAAGCUCUUCUCCAUCUCCUUCAAACUGUGAGGGGUCUUCAGAUCAAAGAGCAUUAGAGGGUGUAUGGUGGCAUGCAGUUUCCUAUGUUAGCUUGUGUUUUCAUAGAAUGGCUUGGGUUGGAAGGGAUCUCAAGGAUUAUCAAGCUCCAACCCCCCUGCCACAGGCAGGGCUGCCAACCUCCACAUUUAAUACUAGACCAGGCUGUCCAAGGCCCCAUCCAACCUGGCCUUGAACACCUCCAGGGUCAGGGCAUAGACAGCCCCUCUGGGCAGCCUGUUCCAGCACCUCACCACUCUCACAGUAAGGAACUUUCCUCUUAUAUCCAACCUAAAUCUUCCCUCCUUCAACUUAAAAUCAGUUCCCCUUGUCCUGCCAUUAUCUACCCUUUCUAAGAGCUGUUUUCUCUCUCCUGUGCUUGUGUUUUAUAUUUUUCAAAGUACAUUUUUCAAAAUUUGAAUGAUGCUCACUUAAGGGAACACUUAAUAAUUUUGUUUACAGUUAGAAAUCUUAAUUAAUAAGAAAUAGCCAUAAGAAUGGCCCAGGAACUUCAAGAGAACACAUAAAAUUUCCUCUGGAGCCCAGAAUGAUGCCCAGAGAAAGGUCUCCAGUGAUGUAUUACAACACUUUUUAAACUUAAAUUGCAUAAUGAAUAUUCAUAAUACUUAUUAUAGCAUAAUUAGUGAAGUAACAAGGGUUUGAAGAUAGGAGUCUGGCAAGAUCUGUACAAGAGAAAAUGCCCCAUCCCUGGAGGUGUCCGAGGCCAGGCUGCAUGGGGCCCUGAGCAGCCUGGUCUGGUGCCUGAUUUAGUGGGUGGCAACACUGUCCAUGGCAGGGAGUUGAAACUAGAUGGUCUUUGAGGUCCCUUCCAACCCAAGCCAUUCUAUGAUUCUAUGAAGAGAAAGAAAUUUAAUUUGUUUGCCUGACUGAGGUAUGAGGGAAAGCAGACAAGCUUUAGGCAUGAGGCCUUUAGGUAAAUAGUGAUAGAGAGAUUACAACCUCCGAAUUAUGCUUAUGGAUCAUAUAAACUCUACAUGGCUGGAAUCAGAGGACACAUUUCAUAUCAAGGGAAAUUUUUAAUAGAAACAACAAGUUGGUUUUGGUUCACCUUUAUGGUUUUAAAACUGUGAGAUGAAAUAUUUUUCCUACAUCUGCAAAAUAUUUUGAAUUUUGAAAAUGUUUCUAUCUGAAGUGCAAUAAAAAGCAGGAGCUGCAAUAAGUUGAUGAGUCAAUAAUGAAUAAACACAGUGUUUUGAAUUGAAAAUUUUGGCACAUUUCAGUGCAGUUACUAUUACUGAUAUAUUUUUCCUGUGGAUACACUGACAUUUAAAAACCAAUCUGUAACGAAGGGAAAAGAAAAAAUAACAUACAUAGCAUGUUGAAACAAAAGGCUCAGAAUCAGAAUUAUUUUGCAGAAAAAUCAGGUUUGAAAAUGUAUCUUUUUCUGGACAAAAGAGUGAAAUAAAACAGUUCAUUAACAGUGCUCAUACUCACUUGCAGACCCAGCAUAUGUGUGUACCACUGACACAACACACAGUUGCCUCCUAAAUACUGAAUUAAUUGUUAGGAUGAUAGUUAAUAGUCAUCCCCAGAUUUUCAAUUACGGGACGAUCCUCCUGUCAGUGCUGCUACUGCAAAUCUUUUCUUCCCCCUUGCAGUGCCCUUCCCUGUGCAACUGGGCAUUUUCAUUCCUCUAUUCAUUCCAGUGAACUACAGAGACCCUGAGCAUCUUUCUCUCUAUUAUUAUGCAGAUCUGCUUUUCUAGAUUCUCGGUAUUUUAUUUAUUGCACAAGCGUAACCCACUGGUAAUCAAUGACUACAAUUACAAGACCUUGAACACGAUGAUAGAAGAAAUAAUAUUUUAUGUUUGGCUUGAAAAUAAACACCCCUCCAUUAGCACAUUUUGCUCACCAUGACUACUGGUGAUGAAGGAAGUCGUCCACCUUGACAUCCCUUGAACCAGGCUACAGUACCACAAGGACUAUAUACACAUUAAAAGACAACUAAUUGAUUAGGGAUCUUUUAAAAAAUUUGGGCCAGAUCCUGAAUCCCACAUGCAUCACACAUUCAAAAAAUGAUUUUCCAAAAGACUCUGAGAAUUUCUGCAAGAUGCGUAGCACAUGUCUGACCUUUUCCUGUCCCCAUGAGGUUCCAGGUCCCUCCUCACUCUCAGCCCCAUAGGCACUGGCCAUCCGAGUCCUGAUCCUGCCAGAGUAGGACUGCAGAUGUGAUGAACACUAGCUGCUGUCUUUGCCUGGUAGACACGUCCAUCCAACACUGAAUCUUUCACAAAUUUUGCCUUCAGUAAAGAAGAGAGGAAGAAAAAUAGAAUAAGAAAUCAUGAAAACCAUUUUUAGAGGGAUUUUAAAUUUGUGCUGCGCUUUCUGAUUCAGAAUUUGAGCUGCACUCUGUGUUUCAGAUACAGUUGGACAUGUUAUUAAGACAAGCAAAGAUACAGUUGAAAAAUGCUGCUAAUAAUCUGGAUAAUUACUUUCAAAAUGAUCUACAUAAUUCCUGAAAUAGCUAAAAUAGAUACAUUCAACAUCCAUAACAAAGAAUAGUAUUCAAAGCAUUUAUAAACUAAAUACUGUUGCCACCACAGUCUCUUCAGACCUACCACCAAUUUGAUAUAUAUUUUCAGACAAGCCCAGGAAAAAUAUGAUUUGAAGGAUCCAUUAAAAGGGAAACUGCUGUUCAACUUUGGUUGUUGAUAGAGCCAUAAAAUAUAUAUUUAUAUGCAGUUUUAUAUAUACAAAAUGAAACUCACAUCCCACAGUAUCUUACUGGAGCUCAGAUGCAGCACAUGACAUAUUAUAUCUGUGGAAAUGGGAUCUAUAACCUAAUGUAUUCUUGCAUCAAAGAAUAAUGUCUCAUAAAUAAAUCAUUACAGCCUGUCACAUCUAUGGUUUCACACCGUAGUGUAUAAAAUAAUGUAUUUUGAGAUACGGGAGAAGGUGAUUAUCUAAUGUUUCAACAAAAAAAGAUUGUCCUGUGCUAAUGCAUGUGCUGUCUUAGAGGUGUUAUUGCCUUACCGCUGUUCAUUGAAGACUAAUCCAUCAUAUCAAAGGAGCGACAGCAUUUCACUUUUAAAAAACUGACACAAUUUGCACGCGGCUUUUCUCUUUCAGUAAUUAAGAAAUCAAAUAAGCCUGAGUGAAACUAUUUAAGAGGUUCUAGAUAUAAUUAGAACACCUCAUUCUCUCAUAACUAAUUCCUAAUUAAAGUAAUUUGUCUUUUUGCCCUUCUUUUCAAGGGUGAAGAGCAAGUGGUGAUGAAUGCUCAAAAUCAGGAAAAGUGAAAAUUGCAGUGUGUUGAUUUGCAGUGAUUGAGCGCGUUCCAGUUUUUAACAACCACCUUCGGCUGCAAUGCUAAAUGAAUCUCCAGCCUCUAUUUACAUUGAGAAUGUGUGAUCCAGAGCCUGACAAUUGAUAGAAUCUGGCGACAAAAGGGCUGAAGUCUGAGUCUGAGUUCAAAAGUUGCCUAUAUUAAGCUUUGCACAGGGGGAAAAAAUACAGUGAGACGGCACAGGAGAGAGAAGAAGUCUGAAAUUUGCUCCACUGGGUGAAAAUUGUCCUUUUAAAAUUUUAUUUGCAGCUGUGCCCAGAUGAUGACGGAUUUAUCAUAUGAACCAGGGAUUAGUAAACAAUGUGUACCCUAUAAAGAGCAAAACAAGUCCUUGCUCAUCACUGCACUUAAUUGCAGUGGUUAUAUCAAAGCCAUAUAAAAUUUAAUCAUCAACCACAAGUAAGAUUUUGCCUUGCAUGUGUGCUUGCUUCCCUGUUUUUCCACCUGUUUAAAUGAAAGAUUCUUGGAAUAUCACAAUAUGUAAAUAUUGUUUAUGAUGCAAAAAUAUGCUCUUUCAUCUCCUGGCUGCUUUGAUGUCGUGAUAUACAAAGCUUUUAGUGCCACCACCUACCUGACACACAAAGGUCUUAUCUGAUUCAUAAACAUGUGUGCCCAGUGCAAACAGGCUGUAUCCAAUAGAUGAUUUUUCUUUUCCUUGCAAUGUUUUUUUAACAGACAGAAAGAGAAAGAAAGUGUAAAUGACAGAACUGCUCAGGUGAAAAGAUUAUUUUAAGCAUCAGGUAAAGAUAAGCCCAUUAUGACAGAAGAAAAAGAUGUAGGUCAGUAUCGAUCCUAAGAGGUUAGUUAUAUAUAUAGUCAUCUCGUAAAAUGUGUUUUAAAAGCUGAAACUUUUUUUAAAGACUUUUGAUCCAAGUGGGAAAUAAGCAGCAAGAUCAGGUGCCCUCCUAAGACAUACAAAUAUGCCUAAUUAGCAGGAGAAGAAAGAGAAAAGCAGGAAGUGAGGUCAACACUGGAAACAGGGCAAACGGAGUCAGGGAGGGAAUAAGGUGUAGGUAAUAGUUAAAAUUUGCGGCUCAUUGGUAACAAUUUUAAACCUAAAGGAGCAGCUUAUUACAGGUUAAUCCAUGAUAUGUCUAAUUUACAGCUAUGUGUAUGUGAAUUUCUCAUAAAACAACGGGAUGGAGCUUCGGUCUGAUGGAGCCUGAAUUCUGCAAGGGGCAGCUGCUGUCUCCAGCUGAAAACACAAUACUGUUUGAGAGAAGUGUUACAACUGCUAGCAAAGGUCCUCUGGGCUUUUUAGGGCAAAUUAGGUCCCCAUACCCUCAGGGAUCCCACAGCUGUUCCCCCUGAGCACACAGAGCACCAAGAUGUGUGCUGAUGGCUGCAACAGCAGCAUAGCAGGGCUUGAUCUCAGCCACCUGAGAACAGAAUUUGGCCAUUUAAUAUCACACAAUAUCACAUAAACUGCAAGAACUUCAAGGUGUAAUGCUUCUUCUCUUUCUUCUUUCUCUCUUCUUUUUUUUUUUUCCCUUUCCAUUCCUUUUUUUUUUUUUUUUUUUCUCUGUAUCCAGGAGCACCCUGGGAAAUCCUUUCGUGUUCUUUAUUUCCAUCUAAGCCCUGGCUUGCUUUGAACAGCAGAGGUAAUUGUGCGGGUGAACUUCAGAGAUUUGAAGGGAUCAAACUUGAAAGCCCCUGCCUGAAAGUGCAAGCUCCAACUGGAAUGUUGUCAGGUGCUGUGAGACGGGACGUGGCGGUGCUGCCGUCGGAGGAAUCCUUGCACAGGGACAGUCUGAACCUGCGCAGCGCUCCCUUUGCACAGCCCCUGCAGUUAGCAAGGCUCCCAUAACCCACAGCAGUGCUCAAAUGAGGCAGUACUGCCCUCUCUGAUCUAUAAAUGGGUGUGUGUGAUGAUGUGACUUGAUGAAGGUCAUCUAUGUCAGACAGUGGCAGAGGGUGAAGAAACCAUCCUGAUGUCUAUUUUCAGGUUUUCCCUGAGCACAUCAGAGCAGAGAAGCCAAAGGGAUGCAGGUCUACAUCGUUUAUGAGAGCUACAUGUUCCUCUGGCUAGAAAAUCCUGGGGGAUUCAAUAAUAAUAAUAAAAAAAGAAGAAUCAGGGAAGAACUGAGAAGAAUAUAAUAGAAGUUUGCAGAUGGGGAAUUUCAGAAACCAGCAAAAUUCACGGAAGGAGAUUGUUACAAAGCACAGCCUUUGCAAUGGAUUUAUACAUUCUUUUAAAUUUUACACGACAGCCAAAACACUCCAGAUACGCUUCCUCCCUCUGCCAGUUUUCCUCGAUCUUCUCUUUGAGCAUAGGUGAAGUUCCUCAUGUUCCAAGACAGGGCAGGGUAUGUUCUGCUGCCAUUUCCCACACCCUUCUCAUGCCGUAUCUGACUAUCAGCACUGCUGCAAUCCAGGAAAACAGGAAACAUCAGAGCCAGUUGGAUUUUUCAACUCCUGAAUGUGUUUUGUUCAGAGUUCCUUUGGAAAAUAAUCAGGAAAACAAAAUAUGUUUUUACAAUUGUUUUUCCCCACUGGGUUUCAGACAACAGCAGCUAUAACAUGAAGUGAAAAAUAUAUUUAUUUCUUCUUCAAUCAAAAAUAUUUGGCUUGACCAAGAAAAUCUAUCUCAGUAAUCACAUGCUGUGUCAAUGCCAUCCAUCUUCUUCUACAAUAGCUAUUGUCAUCGAUAGUGAAAGUUUGUUUCCUGUAGUAAGAAGCAUGGGAGAUGUCCUUUCUUGUUCCGUAUUUUGUUCUGCUUUGCCCUGUCAUAAGGCUAUUAACUACACAGUUACGUUUCAUUUUAAGAUUCUCAGUUAACACUCCCUGUCUUUACACUGCAAACUGUUUCAUCUUCUGAAUUGCGAUCUGCCAGUGGCUGAUGCUGGCAACACAGCACAACGUACAGACUUCUGAUCUCUUUUGGCCUGCAAGCUUUUCUUUCCUAACUGAUGGAUGAAAACCAAUUCCCUGUGCAAUUUGCUGAACUUUACUGUGGUUCUCAGUGCUAUUUCAAUUUAUGCCUAAUAGGUGGAGAAUCACAGAAUGUCCCCGAAGAUCACUGAGCCCAUCUCCUGGCUCCACUUGGGGCUCCCUAAGAAUUAAACCAAAGACAUGUGAAUGCAAACUGAUUCAGAUGAAAUCCAUGACAGUCCUUCCACUUCCGGCCCUCUCAUAUGGGCAGACCCUUGCUUCAUUCUCACUUACUAUUGAAUAAAUAGUAUACGACUUUUGUGGAAUCAGCUAAGGAUUAGUGUUCCACACUCACACUUGUUGCCAUCCAUCUCUUUUCCAAAUUAUCCAUUUCAGCCACUGUGUGUGUUGAAGAGGUGUAAAACAUUGGUCUGAUAUGUGUGUGCUAUUACAGGAAGAAAUACAAGAGCAAACUCUCCUCUAACCCAUUUGAAUGCUUGUGAGACUGUUGGAGUUGUUGAGGUUCAAGGAAUGCCAUCUCCCAGGCUCCUCAUUGUCAUCUUCUUGGUAUCUGAACAUCUGGGGACAGCUGAGUCUGUGCAAGUUCAGUAGGAAAAGGAAAAUUAGUCAAAAGUACAUUUCUGCUCUGUAAGUGGUGUAUUUAAUUUCCAGCUAUGGAACAAAACACAAUUACCCAUGGUCCAUUUUUUCUGGGGUCAAGGCUGGCUAGAUUGUUGUAAUAAUCGUAAUAACACUCCCUCACUUGCUAUUUACCUUGGGAGCUAUUUGCUGUCCUUUGUCUGCAUCUGACUGUUGUGUAGGGACUGUGCCACAUCUUUGUGGUACAGCGUGUGUUUGGUUGCAGGGAUCUUUUGUGUCAGAAAAGGUAAACUUUGCACUCACAUAAAUUCUGUACUAGCCAGGACACAGUGAGACCUAUUCAGACUACUCACUUUCGUGAUAUAUGUAGCCACAUAAUCAUGGAAUAAAGACUCUGCAAAGUAUAUAGUGUUUUAAAGAUAACUUGUACUACAGCAGCGCAUAGAGGAAGGGGUGCUUUGUAUGAAUUACACAGAAAAAGUAUACUUCGCCAUGACCUGGGGAUUAGUUGCAGAUUCAACUCCAGUUUGGUUUGGCCAGAUGUGCAAAAGCUAGGAGGAAGGUGUAGAAAGCACCAGUGUAACCAUGUGAAACCAGGCUUUGAAAAAUAAAGAACUGGCUCAAGAUCACAGGACAUGAUCUAUGGAAGAGAAAGAAGUUAUGCAUGUAUCUCCCGAAUUGCUCUGUAGUGUAGUAACUAGUAUUCCCUUUACUCCCUUGAUACUAUAUGGGAUGUAAAAUAAUGCUCAGUUGCUGACCUCACAUACAGCAAACUGACCCAUUGUUUUCUAGGGAAAUUCAGCCAUGCAGAAAGGAAAUGCUCAGACAUCUAAAUAGCAAAACCAAAGCACUUAUGACCUUUUCUCCUGCCAAGAUCAAAGCAGCAACUUAUUUUCUCCUUUUUUCAAAUUUUAGUGACAUUAGCUAAUGUCACUGCUAAUGUCAACGUGCCAAGGUAUCUUGGUGCCAACUGAACAGCCAGGACUGGUAUUGCAAAGAUACUAAUGAUGUGCUGCUGCUGUCUCAAAGGGAUCCAUGCUGCCAGGCGCUUGUGAAGGACAAGGAAUAAUUUGUACUUUGCAUUGAGCCUUUCACUUGCUUGCAAAAGGUUGCCUGAGUGGAAUGGAACACACAUCAUAAGCUCAACACUUCUUUCAAAUUCCAAACAUACUUUCCUAACUCCACUUAUUACUAAAAUCAUGAUUUUAUCAUUCAAGAGCCCUAGCAAAUCAGCAGAGAAGAAUGUAAGAAAAUUCUACUACUGAGAUCCUAGCCUUGUUGUUCACAGGAAGUUAAAGCGAAACUCUUACAAGCAGAGCAGAGAUGCUUAACAGUCCUUGUGUGCUCACAAAGAAAAUAGAUUUUGUUUAUCAUUUAGAUCAAAAGAACAGGCAGAUUUUUAUUGAUUUUUGAGAUACAGCACUGAUCUUUGCCUCUGCGUCUAAUGGCUGUGAGCACUGGGUGCUACAGUAAUAGUGAGGAAAUAUAGCAAUUUUACACUGUUAAAUCUUUAUCUUGACUGUCUCUAAUUUAUCCAUCUUUAAUAAACCCCACUGCUCUGCAGCUGGUAACUAAAUCAGAGGCACAAGCACAACAUGAAGAGGACAAACUGAAGCCUUCUCCACAAGAUAUGAGGAAAGGACAUGACCUGCAAAUACACUGCCGAAAAGGCUGUGUAUAUCUUAAAUCUCAAUAAAUUCCUUAUUGUGGUGAUUUGGGAUAGCGUGGUGGCACAGCACUGAGUUUCAGUAAAGAAGGAGCUAUUCAGAUUAGCUGCUCUCCAGGGCUGUGGGCCCAGCUCCCUCAGGAUCCAAUGAAAAAAAGGAACUUGUGCAUACAGUAUGAAUAGAGUUUCUGCAAGUGAAUCAAAAUCUAGUCAUAGUGAAUAGAAUCAUAGAAUCACUAAGGUUGGAAAAGACCACUAAAAUCUUCUAGUCCAACCAUCAACUCAUCCCCACCAUGCCCACUGAUCAUGUCCCUCAGUGUCACAUCUCCACAGUUCUGGAACACCUCCAGGGACAGUGACUGCACCACCUUCCUGAGCAGCCUGUGCCACUGCAGCACCACUCCUGAGAAGAAAAUUUUCCUAAUAUCCAAUCUGAACAUUUCCUGGCACUACUUACAGCCAUUACCUCUUGACCUAUUGCUGUUACCUGGGAGAAUAGACCAACCUCCACCUUUUGUCUUGGUGGCAGUAUUUGAAUAGCUGGUCUUGCCAUUUGCUUCUUGACUUCUUUGGUUGAAAUGCCAGAAGAGGCUUGUAAUCCCACUUUGUGCAGUCUAAAAUCUGACCAUAACUCUUUAUCUUCUGAAGCUACUGCAGCUACUGAAAAAGGGUAGUAACUUACCAUCUGACAAUGGGAAAGGAAAAAUGCUGUUCUAGACUCUCUGCUUUCAAAAUGUUCUUCCUUACCUGAAAAGUUUACCUAGUUUAUUCAAUAUUCAUGCUUUUCAGACAUGAUGCCCUUGCUUCCUAUGUUCAAAUUGUAAGGAAGUGUUAUUGCCCAAUGCCAGAAACAUGCAACUAUUCUUUAAUACACCAGAUGCACUGACAUAUUUGCACUCAUACUCAGACUCUUACAUAAAUUUCAUUUUCCACUGAAACAAAAGAUUGUACCUUUGCAGGUCAUGAGGUCACCAAAAAGCCAACCACUAUUUUGUUAAAUUAAAGAUCUGAAUUUGUUCUGCAACAGAAAGGUUUGAGGGAUUUCAUAGACAUGAAUCAACUUGGAUUUUUGAAAAUUGGGGUAUUUUUACUUCUCAUUUUACUGGCAUAACAGUGAAAGAUGUACUUCCAGAAGACAUAUUUGUAUAUCUAACUUCUCACUUUUCAUCACUGUCUAUAUGAUAACUGUGACUGCAGUUUUUUUGCACUGGUAAAAGAGAAUAUCAGUUGUGCAUCAGCUGUGCUCGUCAUAAGAGACUCUUAAGUCUUAGCCAAUGUGAAUACAGAGGAGUCUAUACUUUUGCACAGACAAAAGCUUCUGACCUUCUUUACUGGCAGAGUGAAAAUGAGUGUUAGCCUCCUUGCUCAGGCAGCAUUUCAUCCUAUGAGAUCAUUUUAGUUCCUUUUAAUAACUUGUAUUUGUUUUGUGAGGUAUUUAGGAAGCGUUGGCAGGUAGGGUGCAUGAGUGAAACUCUUUCUUAUGUUAGAGCUAUUUGGAAUAGAAGACAAUUGAGAUUAGCUGAUGACUGAGUAUUCUUAGGGAAUGAACUUCUCUCUUUGAAACUCUGAGCUCAUGUGUUACUACAUUUAACUCGCAGCUCUGUCAGCUUUACAACAGCACAGGGGCAUGCAGGGUGCACGAUGGCAGCAGCGAUGGGGGAUUCACUGGGUAACGCUGCAGGUGCACGUGUUGCUCAUGGCAGCAGCUCCAGCCAGAAAUGCUGCUUUUAUCGAGGUCAUAAAUCAUGUCAGCCCUCCUGAAUACAGUUUUUCAAAAGGGUGAAGCCAUGGCUUGUGUGCUGGAUAUUUAUCUUGCUCUUCCUAAUGCUUUCCCAAAAGCUCUCCUUGAAGGCGGUAAACAGUUCUUUUGGCCAUAAUUAGAACUAAUUGAUUGCUAGAGGGGUUUUAGACCUGUGUCAAACCAAAGGGACAGAGAUGGGAAGAGGAGGCUGAUUCCCAGGCUGUUUCCUUGGCCGUGUACGUGGGCACACAUCAUGGAAGGGAUGAGUUCUAUUGACCCAAGGCAGUGGUGCUCAGGUGUCUGGUGAGUGUGGUGGGAGCCUCUCUGUACUCUGCUGUGGCUGCAGAGACGAUGUGAGCUUUGAACACUCACUCCACGCUCUGCAAAGUGGCAAUGUGGCCCCUGCCAUCCCCGAGGCUGGGCUGAAAGCUCUGAAGUUUGCAGAGAAACAUGCUGCGUCAGGCACAACCAGGCUGGCCCCACAUAAAGUCAAUACUUGUGUGAAAACAAAUAAAAUCUUAGAGUACGAGGCAGAGGCUAAAGAAUGCCUUCACCUCUUUCCUUCAAGCAACUAUUUUGUUAACUUGAAAGACGGCAGGGGUGAUCUUACUCCAUUCUUUCUCUACAGGUCAAAUACUUGUCAUAGGAGACACCCUAGUUAAUAUUAAACUAAAAAUUAAUAGAUUAGAUAACUAUUAUAUGCUUUUAGUGCCAAUUAAUUUAAUAGCUGGUUUUUUUUGUUUUGUUUUGUUUUCUCUUUUUCUAGCAAGGUAGGUGAAUAUAGCAGCACAGUUUACUGUGUCUGUAUGAGCUCUCAGAUGGGUCUUUUGUGCUACAAUUACCACCAAUUGAUUGGACUGACACAUGUAAUCCCCUUUGGAUCACCCAACGAUAUGAUGUCAGUAAGAAGUCCUUCAAACAGACUAUUAAAAAGCACAUUAAACAUGUCCUUAUUGUAAGCUUUAUGCUAGCUUAUGCUAAAAUAACAGUGAUACAGUGGUAUUUGUUUGAAAAUGAAAGGAUUAUAUGGUCUUUGUAAAAUGAGGAAUUUAGUAUUGGGAGGGGCAGUGGGAUGGUGAUUUAUUUUUUGUUUAUGUUCUUCCGAAUCCUUUGAUAUGUCAACUUCUGUCACUAACCAUUAGGCCACUUGUAAUUUCUUGUAUCAACGAAGAUGAAAUACAUACUGCCUCCAAUAAUUUAUGUCAAAUAUUGAAGGGCAUGGAUGGUAGUGCUUAUUGUGAGAUUAUAAUGAGAAUUGAACUGGGGGCUUCAGAAAUCCAUAGGUAAUUUAUUGUUAAAGAGCACGCAUGAAUCACUCCGGCCUUUAAUUGUCAUGUGGAUGCAUUUUGCUUUCAGCUUGCGCUGGAAACAAAUUGCUGAAAUGGAAUGAUAACUCAGAAGAAAGAUUUCACCAUGACCCUUUGUACUUAUUAAUAUAGUGCCAAGAGUGUAAUGAGUGCCAUGCCUUCUCUUGGGUCAGAUUCUGGUGCGUAGUGAAAGGAAUGCCUUGAAAUUUGUAUUGCUUUUCAUGAAGAAGAAAAACAUAAACAGUAGCAUAUACACCUCGCAAGCAAGGGCUGAGAGUCAAAAAGAUUUGUGGUAUUUAUAAUACUGCACAAUAAAGGUGACCAGGGGAUUUUAUAGGAUGAUUUAACACUGAACUGUGCAAAGAAAUUAAGCCGUUCUGGAGAUUUCUUUGUAACGCACCAACAUCCUCAUCAUCCCUCUUUGCUCUGCUCUCUUUUUAUCUUACAACGUCAAGGUAACACUCCAAAGUGGUUAACCAACUGCUGUGCAUAUCUUACAUAGAUGUGCUGCUUUAGAUCAUGCUGCUGCUCCCAGAGAGAGAAAUUUCAUUGUUAACCCGAAUCUAGGUGUUUUUGUCAAAAAAAUCAAAGCUACCAGAAAAUGGAUAUAAAUUAUUCGCAGGGUCUGGUUUUCUGUCUGCUUUAAUAUCAUGUAAUCAAAGGACAGAUUACUCAAAAUUACUCCUCUUGAGUGCUUCAGUGUAGUCAUCACAGCACUUCUCUGCGACUACUUCACAGUUUCUCAUAAUGUAAGAAUUAGGGGCUACGCAGUGAAACUAGGAAACAGCAAGCUUAAAAUAUACAAAAAAAAAAAAAAAGAAAGAAAGAAAAAAAAGGGGAUUUGAAAGCAUUUGAAAGCAGGAUGUGUGAUCAAAAUGAGGUACAACUUGACACAGAAAUUUAUGGAAGCCAAAAGUAUAAAGUGUAGAAGAAUUUAACAAAGUCACGAAGGAUAGAUUCUCUGGUGACUUUUAAGCUAAAUGGUCUUGAUGUGGUCACUGUUUUUAGGAGUCCAUUACCCAGAAUGAAGAAUGAAUUACAUUUGGGAAGGAGAACUCUGAAUUUGAUCUAUCCAUUUGCUCUUCCCCUGCUGACCACUACCAGAGACAGGACUCUGGGGUAAACUGCCUUUAUGCUUUGUGGCUGCUCUUACAUCCAUAGAAAACUCUUGUAGCCAUUAUGAAUAAUGAAGUGUGUCUUUCACAGAAUCACAGAAUCGUACAGGUUGGAAGGGAGCUCUGGAGAUCAUCUAGUCCACCCUGACAACUCACCCACACCAUGCCCCCUAACCAUGCCCCUCAGUGCCACAUCUCCACAGUUCUUGAACACCUCCAGGGACAGUGACUCCACGACCUCCUUGGGCAGCCUGUGUAACUGCAGCACCGCUCUUUCUCAGAAGAAGUUUUUCCUAAUAUCCAACCUGAACCUCCACUGGCGCAACUUUACCUCUCAUGCUAUCACUAUGCUGUUACUCAGGAUAGUAAAGAGGCAGUACACGGAAGAUCUUUGAUGUUUCAUUCAAAUUAUUUAUGGAGGAGGAACUAUUUUCUAACAGAUUUUUUUUUUUUUACAUUAGUAUGCUGUAAAUUGCUUUGUCUAUGAAGAUAUCAGAGCACUUACCAAUCCAGAGUAGCUUUUCAUAGAAUACGUUCGCUACAAAUAGCUAUAGCACAGCCUAAACUGGACUGUUAGUUAAUCCCAGAUAAAACCCAUCUCAGGUUCUCCUACAAAUAGCACAUGUUCAAGACCAAGCCCUGACACAUCAGUGAGUAAACCUCAAUAAGCUGCUUCAGGAUAGUGGCACUACAACAGCUUCAUAACACUUGCAAGUGCCAGUAAAGGAUGCCGAAGUGUUGGUUUGCCAGGACUGGAACAGAGCAGCGACCACAGGUGCUUAUUUUCCCUUUUUGUAGUUCAUCGGUGUCAUGCAACUGUUGGCUCAGUCAGCAGAUGUGUCAGCUCUUGGAAUAACAGCUACUUAUGUAGGUUAGGUACAGUGCCAAAAGGUAAGUGUUAUAAAGAGUAAAACUGUAAAGAAUUAUGAACAUAAAGCCUGUGAUAGUAAAGGUGACUCCUUAGCAUUAUGCGCCACAGCAACAUAUUUUACCAAGGGCAGGAAAAGUCAGCUUUAUUUUCACCCCGUCACAAGCCGUAAGUGCUGAGCUAUGUGCAAUUUCCUGUUGGAUUUAAAUAGACACAUUUCUGAGCCCUAAUUUUUACUCUUUUCAUCUCUAGUAAACAAAUUGCCAAUUAAUAAUUAUGAAUUGAUCUCACAUGGCACAAACCUGUGCAAAAUAAUGCAGUAUCCCACUACCAUGCUUUUGGUAGCACUGUGAGCACAUCUGUAUAGAAGUUAUAGUUCAGAAAGGAGGAAAGCCCAGCACAGGACCCAGAACAUGGUCAAGGACCAAGAGCACCUGACUCACAGGGAGAGGCUAAAGAAACGGUUUGUUUGGUCUGGCAAAGAGGAUAAGGGGUAAUGUAAUAGCACCUACUUGACAGGGAGUUACAAAAAAAUGACAUAGCCAAACCUUUCUCAAUGGUCCUAGACAAUGUAACAAGGGGCGAUGGCCACAGAGUGCAGCUUGGCAUGCUCAGGUUGGACAUUGGGAAAAAAUGCACUUGAAGAGUGUUGCAGCACUGGAACAGGUGCCCAAGAGGUUGUGGAAACUGUCCUUGGAGAACUUUAAGACUCAGUUAGAAGUUAAGCACAUCUGCAGCUGGCAAAUGUCCCAUGUCAUGUGGGAGUUGCAUGAGAGGCCUCCAGAUCUUCCUCCCAACCACCAUUUCUAUCUACUCUUUCAACUCUCUGCUUUAAUAAUUUAUACCUUAAAAGAGUGAUUUGCACCUCUGCUUUUUGCACAGUCUUAAGUUGGCCUCUCAACCCUGGAGAUUUAGGGUAAGAAGUCAGUACUAUUUCUUCCUUUCAUUGUGCCUUGGAUGAAUCAAUGAAGUGGUCAUACUCAGAGGAUGUCUGCCAGGAGUUAGCAGUGUUGUGAGAAUGUGCUUGUGCUUGUGUAUAAAUCCAGCUGUCAUGCCACUAUCACUAACAGAAUGCUUCUGAUGUGCUCAGGAGCAGAACUUUAGGUGUCUGCUGCUGUCAGUCACUGGCGUGGUUAGACAGCAGUACAGUGUUGAUGGAGUUCAGAUUUUGGAUUUGGACAACUGAUGAGCUUGCUCAGCUCUGUGCUUUAGCGAGUAAUUUGGUUUAAAUUCUUAGGAAUUAAUGUUUAUGAAACCAGAUGUAACUGAGUCCCAGUGCCUUUGCUAUAUAAAUG
ensembl:lncRNA